UACGUAGGCAGCAAGCGUUGUUCGGAGUUACUGGGCGUAAAGGGUGUGUAGGCGGCCUGUUAAGUUCCGUGUGAAAUCUCCCGGCUCAACCGGGAGGGUGCGCGGAAAACUGGCGGGCUAGAGUGCGGGAUGGGAGAGUAGGAUUCCUGGUGUAGCGGUGAAAUGCGUAGAUAUCAGGAGGAAUACCGGUGGUGUAGACGGCUCUCUGGACCGCAACUGACGCUGAAACACGAAAGCGUGGGUAGCAAACAGG
rnacentral:rRNA from 1 species